GCAAAUCUCAAAAAAACAAUCUCAGUUCAGACUGCAGGCUGCAACUCGCCUGCACGAAGUCGGAAUUGCUAGUAAUCGUAGGUCAGCAUACUACGGUGAAUACGUUCCCGGGCCUUGUACACACCGCCCGUCAAACCAUGAGAGUUGGCAACACCCGAAGUCGGUAGUCUAACCGCAAGGAGGACGCCGCCGAAGGUGGGGUUGAUGAUUAGGGUUAAGUCGUAACAAGGUACC
rnacentral:rRNA from 1 species